rnacentral:rRNA from 1 species
GAUGAACGCUAGCUACAGGCUUAACACAUGCAAGUCGAGGGGCAUCGGGAAGAAAGCUUGCUUUCUUUGCUGGCGACCGGCGCACGGGUGAGUAACACGUAUCCAACCUGCCCUUUACUCGGGGAUAGCCUUUCGAAAGAAAGAUUAAUACCCGAUAGCAUAAUGAUUCCGCAUGGUUUCAUUAUUAAAGGAUUCCGGUAAAGGAUGGGGAUGCGUUCCAUUAGGUUGUUGGUGAGGUAACGGCUCACCAAGCCUUCGAUGGAUAGGGGUUCUGAGAGGAAGGUCCCCCACAUUGGAACUGAGACACGGUCCAAACUCCUACGGGAGGCAGCAGUGAGGAAUAUUGGUCAAUGGGCGUUAGCCUGAACCAGCCAAGUAGCGUGAAGGAUGAAGGCUCUAUGGGUCGUAAACUUCUUUUAUAUAAGAAUAAAGUGCAGUAUGUAUACUGUUUUGUAUGUAUUAUAUGAAUAAGGAUCGGCUAACUCCGUGCCAGCAGCCGCGGUAAUACGGAGGAUCCGAGCGUUAUCCGGAUUUAUUGGAUUUAAAGGGAGCGUAGGUGGACUGGUAAGUCAGUUGUGAAAGUUUGCGGCUCAACCGUAAAAUUGCAGUUGAUACUGUCAGUCUUGAGUACAGUAGAGGUGGGCGGAAUUCGUGGUGUAGCGGUGAAAUGCUUAGAUAUCACGAAGAACUCCGAUUGCGAAGGCAGCUCACUGGACUGCAACUGACACUGAUGCUCGAAAGUGUGGGUAUCAAACCAGG